rnacentral:rRNA from 1 species
UACGUAGGGUGCGAGCGUUAAUCGGAAUUACUGGGCGUAAAGCGCGCGUAGGUGGUUCAGUAAGUUGGAAGUGAAAUCCCCGGGCUCAACCUGGGAACUGCUUUCAAAACUGCCGAGCUAGAGUACGGUAGAGGGUGGUGGAAUUUCCUGUGUAGCGGUGAAAUGCGUAGAUAUGCGGAGGAACACCAGUGGCGAAGGCGACUCGCUGGACAAGUAUUGACGCUGAGGUGCGAAAGCGUGGGGAGCAAACAGG